GACAACGGAGGAAGGUGGGGAGUGACGUCAAGUCAUCAUGGCCCUUACGGCCUGGGCUACACACGUGCUACAAUGGUCGGUACAAAGGGUUGCCAAGCCGCGAGGUGGAGCUAAUCCCAUAAAACCGAUCGUAGUCCGGAUCGCAGUCUGCAACUCGACUGCGUGAAGUCGGAAUCGCUAGUAAUCGUGAAUCAGAAUGUCACGGUGAAUACGUUCCCGGGCCUU
rnacentral:rRNA from 1 species